AACAGGGUGUAUCUGGUAUAAAUAGGCAACAAAUUCGUCUAUAUGAUACUUACAAUUUUCCAUACACAGUAAAUGUUAUAAGGGUUUUUGGAUAUUUUGAAGAAACUGAAUAAGGGUGUAACUUAGUCAUUUAAAUAGAAACUUGCCACCCCGUUGACGGUAACAUUGUCAGUUUACCUGAACACAAGCAACAGAAAUGAAGUUUAGCGCACUUUUCAUCAUCGUGUUUGUGUUUGUCGUGGUUACAGCCGCACCAAAGGUUGCCAACAAGAGGAAGGCGAAGUGUCCUGAUGGCAGACCUAUUCCCUUCUGUGGUACCAAUGGAAAGAUAGUUGGCACAUAUUACAUAGAUCUUCCAGAUGGACGUAGGCAGAGUGUAUCGUAACACCGCUUAUUGACGGAAUUCGCAUACUUGAUCCUUUCGUUUCAUCCAGUUCAAGAAAUAUAAUCUGUCAUAUACGUAAAUAUUUUCAUUUAAUCAAAUGAUGUCUUUCCGUUAAAUAAAUUAAGCAAAGAUGGAUUUUGAAAUGAUUUAUUUGAAAAGUGAAUUAUACAUGGUCUUCAUUAUUGAUAUUGUUGUUUCUUUAUUUGUCAAACGAAGUCGCACCAGUUGAGAAUUGGCAAAAGAGUCCAAUGUCACAGUUUGUACACCCUUAUACAACACAGAGUGUUGCUUUCCUUACAUUUUGCUUUGCCCUGUAUCGAUGUUUGUGAUAUCUAAUUCAUUUGAAAUAUAUUUAUUUGAUCAUUAUCCUUUUUAUCGCAGAGAAACAUUUGUUGGACAGACUAAAAUAAAAGUGGAAGUUAUCCGAAAUCAAAUAAAAAAGUAAUAAUCAUAAAAAUUAAGUAGCAUUUAUUAUUUUUAAUCUAUAUCUAUGGUCCUCUCCUUCGGUGUAAA